rnacentral:rRNA from 1 species
AUUGAACGCUGGCGGCAGGCCUAACACAUGCGAGUCGAGCGGCAGCGGGAAAGUAGCUUGCUACUUUUGCCGGCGAGCGGCAGACGGGUGAGUAAUGCCUGGGAAAUUGCCCAGUCGAGGGGGAUAACAGUUGGAAACGACUGCUAAUACCGCAUACGCCCUACGGGGGAAAGCAGGGGACCUUCGGGCCUUGCGCGAUUGGAUAUGCCCAGGUGGGAUUAGCUAGUUGGUGAGGUAAUGGCUCACCAAGGCGACGAUCCCUAGCUGGUCUGAGAGGAUGAUCAGCCACACUGAACUGAGACACGGUCCAGACUCCUACGGGAGGCAGCAGUGGGGAAUAUUGCACAAUGGGGGAAACCCUGAUGCAGCCAUGCCGCGUGUGUGAAGAAGGCCUUCGGGUUGUAAAGCACUUUCAGCGAGGAGGAAAGGUUGAUGCCUAAUACGUAUCAACUGUGACGUUACUCGCAGAAGAAGCACCGGCUAACUCCGUGCCAGCCGCCGCCGUAACAC